CUGUGUUGAAGUAGAAUUUUCUUGUUUGGUGUUAGUAUAGCAUAUAUAAUUAAAACAAAAUUGAUAAAGAACUUAGGAUAUUAGGAUAUUAACAGAUAGGCCAAAUGAAGGAUUUCAUCUUACUCUCUGCAGCCGCCUUUCACAAAGGACUUUUUUUUUUGCAAAACAAUGUCUUGGCAAAUGGAAGCAAGUAAAUAUUUGAAGAAAGUAAAACUGGCUGUGAGUGCAGGAGAGAGAGGCCGUUUGUUCUUUCAGCCAGCCUUGCUUGUGGCUCAUUUCACAGUUGUUUAAAGGGAGCACAUUUUGAAAAUCUAGUUUCUUCAUACAAGCCUGGUAGGUGACUGAUGGUUCUGUACCUCAUGUACGUGCCACCGGGGUUUAUAUUUUUACACAUGUUUGUCAAGAUAAUGUUUUGUAAACGAAAGGUGGACGUUUCACAGCAGGGCCUGAGAAGUCGCGCUGGUUGGGACCAGAAGACAGCUUCAGGUGAGGGUGUGAUGACGCGGGGGGGGCGGGGAAGGGGGGCUCCCUGGAACCGUGCUGGGCAGGUGGACCCCUCUCAGUGCCCAGGGAGAGCAGCUGCUGGAUGAACCUUUGUCUUAAUACUUUCAAGGAAAGGGAAGUUUCUCAUGGUUCGUGCACGUCGCCGAUGAAGCGUGUAGUGGGGUGCACAGUGAGCUAACACUUCUGGCGGUCGUUGGAGCCCCAUCCAUCAGCAUUCUUCCUAUUGUCUUCUGCAUCAGCUGAGACACAUGCAGGGCAGCAAUCCCGACGGCGUCAUUCUCCUUACGUAGACCUGGACUUUCUAGUCUUUACAUCUUUUUUUUUUUUUAUUUUUGGCGAAAGAGAAAAUGAGUAAUCACUGGUUACUCUUAGCUGCUUCCCCAUGCUUCUUUUUCUUCGCGGCCAAGCCCACUAGUGAACUGGUUCCAGAGCACAGGAAGAACGCGAAGUGCCCAGCUUGGCUGGGCUCUGACGACUAUUCUCUCCAUGAAAUCUGUGACCACACUAAUUGAGUUCUCACAGGUAUCAAUAUGCGCAUGUGCCCAGUGCCAGAAAACUGCGAAUCUACACGGAGAUCUCAGACUGUUGCCAGGGCCGCUAUAAAAUAGAGAAGAAGAAAAAAAGCCCAGUGAUAAAGGCAUGUGGAAUUUUGUUCACCUGAAUGUAGUAAAUUAAACAAAAUAGAGUGAUCACAGAGUGAUAAACAAAAAAACGAUGCAAACUAAUUACAAUUUUAACACUCCCCCAGCAGCUUUGAUUGACAUUUAAUAGUUAAGCCAGCCCGUUUGUUUUUCAGGCAGAAGCUCCUGCCGCAUGAAUAGGUCCUGCCUUGCAGCUUGUGGACAAGCGAGUGAGCGGCCUGGAGGAGCCUGAGGGGUCUAUGACAGACGCAGCGGUGCGGCCUGCCUGCUGACCGCCGGCGUUCACUCAGCUCCGCUCAAAGCCCCCUCCCCUCCCCUCCCCUCCCCUCCCCGCCGCUUGCUAUUCACGGAGUAGAAGCCAGGCGUGGACUGGUUUUAAUGACUUCAAGACACAGAUGCUGCAAUUACCUUCAGAAGCAGGAGCGCGAUGGACUUUGAGUGGUGGUAGGCUUUCCGGACGGUGGGCCGUGCAGGGGCCACGUUUAUGGCUGCUAAUCCUUUCAGGUCGUCAGCGCCCAUUGAUCUCUCUACUUCCAGCUGUUGUCAACACAGAUGGUACGGGGCUUGGAAUGCAGAGCAGGCAAACCCUGCUUGUAUUUAUGCUUUACACUCUCAUACUGGAGAUUUAAUUAUGAAUACUAGUACAAAAGAAAGAGUAGUUUCAUCAUAUUUUAUCUGCCCGUUGUUAAAACUAGUCAGGACACCUAUACAGACUCCGAGAUAGGCUAAUGUUAAAGAAUUUCAUAUAUUUUAAAUACAUAAACGGAUAGCAUAUCCAUGGAUACCCGUGUAUGUAUAUGUAUAUCCAUGAAAGAGGAGAUUUAAAAAUUAGACUUGUUUUUGUAAUAAAGUGCUCACUUCUUUAUGUAGUAGUUUCA
rnacentral:lncRNA from 1 species